UACGUAGGGGGCAAGCGUUGUCCGGAAUCAUUGGGCGUAAAGCGCGUGUAGGCGGCUCGAUAAGUCUGCUGUGAAAGUCCAAGGCUCAACCUUGGGAUGCCGGUGGAUACUGUCGAGCUCGAGUCCGGAAGAGGAGUGUGGAAUUCCCGGUGUAGCGGUGAAAUGCGCAGAUAUCGGGAGGAACACCAAUGGCGAAGGCAGCUCGCUGGGACGUUACUGACGCUGAGACGCGAAAGCGUGGGGAGCAAACAGG
rnacentral:rRNA from 1 species